GUGGGGAAUUUUGGACAAUGGGCGCAAGCCUGAUCCAGCAAUGCCGCGUGCAGGAAGAAGGCCUUCGGGUUGUAAACUGCUUUUGUACGGAACGAAACGGCUCUGGUUAAUACCCGGGGCUAAUGACGGUACCGUAAGAAUAAGCACCGGCUAACUACGUGCCAGCAGCCGCGGUAAUACGUAGGGUGCAAGCGUUAAUCGGAAAUACUGGGCGUAAAGCGUGCGCAGGCGGUUUUGUAAGACAGGCGUGAAAUCCCCGGGCUCAACCCGGGAAUGGCGCUUGUGACUGCAAAGCUGGAGUGCGGCAGAGGGGGAUGGAAUUCCGCGUGUAGCAGUGAAAUGCGUAGAUAUGCGGAGGAACACCGAUGGCGAAGGCAAUCCCCUGGGCCUGCACUGACGCUCAUGCACGAAAGCGUGGGGAGCAAACAGGAUUAGAAACCCCAGUAGUCC
rnacentral:rRNA from 1 species